rnacentral:misc_RNA from 1 species
UGGGAUAAAGGCUUAGUUGAGUUAAGUUGAGUUGAGUUGAGAAUUAAUUGUUUUCUAAUUAUAUUAGGCAUUAGGAUUAAUCUAUUUCAUGAUUUGUUUCCUUCUUUUUAUUGCUACAGUUUUUGGCGCUCCCCGAGUUGACUCUUGACAGUAGGUUGUGGUCAAAUGAUGAAGAAAAUGAUGCAUUUGCAAACUUAUCUUUAUCUUUCUUCAUUGCUGUUGUUGGGGGCUGCAAUGAAGAAAAGUACGGUGACACGAAUGUCAACAUUUGCAUAGUUCUCUUUCAAGUUGUGUGCCUUAGUACCACAAAAUUGCCAGAAAACAACCUAAAACUUCCCUUGCCCCAUGGGAAUACAACUCAACUCAACUCAAC